ACCUCCCAGCCCGGCGUGGGGCACGGGUGGCCCGGCUGCGGGCAGGCAGCUUGCUAGGAGGGACCGUCGGGGGGCAGCAGCAGCAAGCGCUUGGGAAGAAACCUUCCAGCAUCCUCCUCCUGACUGACAAUGUUUUGCACCUCAUCUUCAGGACCCGGCGUCUUUCCAAAUCCCAGUCGCAUCGGACUGCGUGGUUUUGACACUUUAACAUGCAGCAUAUGCAGCUCAUUUCCCUAUUCACUGGGCUAUUUGUAAACCUAAUUUAAGCUAAAUCUCUCCCUGCUCUUAGCGUUUUACGUAGCUCCAAAGGAAAGGGUGAGUAGGAGAAAUAUAAAAUCAACCAAUAUUCAGAGAAGAAAAACCCUCUGGAUUUCCUGGGAAGGGGUGAAGGAGACUGAGUGGCAGAUGCAGUUCCUUUCUCAGGAAGAACAGCCUGCCUGGGUGAGGGGCUGUGCUGAGCUGCUACAAGACUUGCGUGGCAGCAGGCAAUAUGAGAAGAGAAGCACUGUGAUUUUUGAGUGAAUGCACAACUUAUUCCAAGUUAUUAAAAAUAACCAUCUUUUGUUUGCAUGUUAUUUUAAUUUGGCUUUGAUAAGAACUACAGCUAUGCCCCCUGCCCCUUCCAAGGUGUCCCAGCAAGUAAUAAAUAAAUAAA